UACGUAGGGGGCAAGCGUUGUCCGGAAUUACUGGGCGUAAAGCGCGUGUAGGUGGGAGAGCCAGUCCGGUGGGAAAGCCCGCGGCUCAACCGCGGAAGGACGCUGGAAACUGCUCUUCUUGAGGGUGAUAGAGGGAAGUGGAAUUGCUGGUGUAGCGGUGAAAUGCGUAGAUAUCAGCAGGAACACCCGUGGCGAAGGCGGCUUCCUGGAUCACCCCUGACGCUGAGACGCGAAAGCGUGGAGAGCGAACGGG
rnacentral:rRNA from 1 species